CCUACGGGGUGCAGCAGUGGGGGAUAUUGCACAAUGGGGGAAACCCUGAUGCAGCGACGCCGCGUGGGUGAAGAAGCGCCUCGGCGCGUAAAGCCCUGUCAGCAGGGAAGAAAAUGAUGGUACCUGACGAAGAAGCCCCGGCUACCUACGUGCCAGCAGCCGCGGUAAUACGUAGGGGGCCAGCGUUAUCCGGAUUUACUGGGUGUAAAGGGGGCGCAGUCGGCGAUGCAAGCCAGGGGUGAAAGCCCGGGGGCCAACCCCGGGACGGCUCUUGGAACUGCGUGGCUAGAGUGCAGGAGGGGCAGGCGGAAUGCCUGGUGUAGCGGUGAAAUGCGUAGAUAUCAGGAGGAACACCGGGGGCGAAGGCGGCCUGCUGGACUGCAACUGACGUUGAGGCCCGAAAGCGUGGGGAGCGAACAGGAUUAGAUACCCUGGUAGUC
rnacentral:rRNA from 1 species